CCCCUAGAUGUUCUGGGCCGCACGCGCGCUACACUGAACAGUUCAACAAGUCUUAACCUUGGCCGAUAGGUCUGGGUAAUCUUUGAACGCUGUUCGUGAUUGGGAUAGACCUUUGCAAUUAUGGGUCUUCAACGAGGAAUUCCUAGUAAACGCAAGCCAUCAGCUUGCAUUGAUUACGUCCCUGCCCUUUGUACACACCGCCCGUCGCACCUACCGAUUGAAUGGUCCGGUGAAAUCUCGGGACGGCGGCUUGGUCGCUUGCGUCCGACUGCUGAAACUUGAUUAAACCAUAUCAUUUAGAGGAAGGUGAAGUCGUAACA
rnacentral:rRNA from 1 species